CUACAAAGGAAUUGACGGGACCCCGCACAAGCGGUGGAUCAUGUUGUUUAAUUCGACGAUACGCGAAGAACCUUACCAGGUCUUGACAUCCCCUGCAAAGCUAUGGAGACAUAGUGGAGGUUAUCAGGGAGACAGGUGGUGCAUGGUUGUCGUCAGCUCGUGUCGUGAGAUGUUGGGUUAAGUCCCGCAACGAGCGCAACCCUUAUUGCUAGUUACCAUCAUUAAGUUGGGGACUCUAGCGAGACUGCCAGUGAUAAACUGGAGGAAGGUGGGGAUGACGUCAAAUCAUCAUGCCCCUUAUGACCUGGGCUACAAACGUGAUACAAUGGCUGAAACAAAGGGCAGCGAAGGAGCGAUCUGGAGCGAAACCCAAAAAAGCAGUCUCAGUUCGGAUUGAAGUCUGCAACUCGACUUCAUGAAGUCGGAAUCGCUAGUAAUCGCGGAUCAGAACGCCGCGGUGAAUACGUUCUCGGGGUUU
rnacentral:rRNA from 1 species